rnacentral:rRNA from 1 species
AUUGAACGCUGGCGGCAGGCCUAACACAUGCAAGUCGAGCGAGCGGCGGACGGGUGAGUAAUGUCUGGGGAUCUGACUGAUGGAGGGGGAUAACUACUGGAAACGGUAGAUAAUACCGCAUUCCAUCAGAUGAACCUAUCGGGGAUGAGAUUGUAGGUAAGGUAACGGCUUACCUAGGCGACGAGCCCUAGCUGGUCGGAGAGGAUGAUCAGCCACACUGGGACGGAGACACGGCCCAGCCUCCUACGGGAGGCAGCAGUGGGGAAUAUUGCACAAGGGGCGAAAGCCUGAUGCAGCCAUGCCGCGUGUAUGAAGAAGGCCUUCGGGUGGUAAAGUACUUUCAGUCGGGAGGCGUUACCGACAGAAGAAGCACCGGCUAACUCCGUGCCAGCAGCCGCGGUAAUAC